GGGCCCGCACAAGCGGUGGAGCAUGUGGUUUAAUUCGAUGAUACGCGAGGAACCUUACCAGGGCUUAAAUGUAAGUUGCAUGGAUCAGAGAUGAUCCUUUCUUCGGACUACUUACAAGGUGCUGCAUGGUUGUCGUCAGCUCGUGCCGUGAGGUGUCAGGUUAAGUCCUAUAACGAGCGCAACCCCUAUCGUUAGUUGCCAGCGGUUCGGCCGGGCACUCAACUGAGACUGCCGGUGUUAAACCGGAGGAAGGUGGGGAUGACGUCAAGUCCUCAUGGCCCUUAUGCCCAGGGCUACACACGUGCUACAAUGGUAAGGACAAAGAGUCGCGAGACCGCGAGGUGGAGCUAAUCUCAAAACCCUUACCCAGUUCGGAUUGCAGUCUGCAACUCGACUGCAUGAAGUCGGAAUCGCUAGUAAUCGC
rnacentral:rRNA from 1 species